CCCUUAGGUGUUCUGGGCGGCCCGCGCACUACAAUGGCGUGUGCAGCGAGUGCCGAAGUAGAGUUUUCCGAGGUAUUCUUGCAAUGCUCGUUUUGAUGGGGAUAGACCCUUGCAACUGUUGGUUUUGAACGAGGAAUUCCUUGUAAGCAUGGUUUAUCAUCCGACGCUGAAUGCGUCCCUGCCCUUUGUACACACCGCCCGUCGCUCCUACCGAUGAGUCGUCCGGUGAAGUUCGUAGACCUCGUGAUCGCGGAUCACUGGGGGAAGCAAAAUGAACCUCGCGGUUUAGAGGAAGGAGAAGUCGUAACA
rnacentral:rRNA from 1 species